GACGAACGCUGGCGGCGUGCUUAACACAUGCAAGUCGAACGGUAAGGCUCCAGCUUGCUGGGGUACACGAGUGGCGAACGGGUGAGUAACACGUGGGUGACCUGCCCUGCACUUCGGGAUAAGCCUGGGAAACUGGGUCUAAUACCGGAUAGGACCAUGGUGUGGAUACUGUGGUGGAAAGUUUUUUCGGUGUGGGAUGGGCCCGCGGCCUAUCAGCUUGUUGGUGGGGUAAUGGCCUACCAAGGCGGCGACGGGUAGCCGGCCUGAGAGGGUGGACGGCCACAUUGGGACUGAGACACGGCCCAGACUCCUACGGGAGGCAGCAGUGGGGAAUAUUGCACAAUGGGCGGAAGCCUGAUGCAGCGACGCCGCGUGGGGGAUGACGGCCUUCGGGUUGUAAACUCCUUUCACCAUCGUCGAAGGGUUUCUGACGGUAGAUGGAGAAGAAGCACCGGCUAACUACGUG
rnacentral:rRNA from 1 species